AGCUGUCCUGCAGGAGAAGAGGAAAAGUAAAAAGCAAAAUGUCUGAAAAAGCAGCCUCCACAAGACUUGUGACUGCACCUCCAUAUCAAUUUAUUUGCUCACGUGCACACACACACACACACACGCGUGCUUGUGCGUGUUGCCUGGACACCCUCUCCCUGGGUGCCCCGGUGUCCUCUCCCUGCCUAUUGGCACCCUUGUGGCCAGGCCUGCUCCCAGAGCAGAAUCUGGAUCUAGAGGAGGGGGCAACCCCGUCCCUACUCUCCAAGGGCAGGACACACACACACACACACACACACACACACACACACACGAGCACUCGACACAGGCGAAGAAAACGCAUAAACAAAUGCAGAGUCAUCACCAGCUGCAGGAGCUUUACGCGGCCAUGCCAGGGGCGGACAGAACGAGCAGAGAACCGGAGGCGCUGAGUCCAAACAGCUGUGUGCUGUGCUCAGGAGCUAACGCCAAGGGGGUUGAGGACCCCAAAGGCCUCCUUGGCUGGGAGGAAUGUCAAGGCCUGGCCCCUCCUCCAUCACACUGGAGGAACACAGAGGACAGGGAUGGCUUCUCCCAGGGCGUGCAGGACUCUGUCCCCGAGCUGAGUACUGAAGACCGUUUGCUGCCUGGGAAAGAGGAGACAGCUGCUUCCAGCCACAGAGAGCCGGGGAAAGAUUCACCCUGAGCUAACAUCUGCUGCAAAUCCUCCUCUUUU